UCAUUUGUUUAUUAAAUUCAAUCAAAGAGAAAUAGAGUUGCGUAAACAAACAAAAAUUCAUCUAGAUGGUAUCAUUUGGAUUGAUCACCUACAUGGAUCAUUUAGAUGGAGUUGUCAGAUGUACAAACGACAUGGCCCAUAGUCUUAUGCUGCUAGCGCCAACGUUUCAGAGGUCCAAUCCCUUUCUGGUGACAAGCAGUGGAAGAAUCGAAGCCAUACGGCAUAGUAGCUGCGGGAUCUGGUUAUGUGAUAUCUCCUAUCUCGGUGCUUUUUGGCUAUGAUUCCAUUUGGGGAUGCCGAAGGAGAUGAGACACUGUCAGAUAUAGGUCUUUAACAUAACAGGGCUAGUCCCGGCUUCUCAAAAGCGUCAGUGAUGUCGUCAUAUGACUUAUUCGGUUGCGCUCCCCGGAGUCAUACGGGUUUGCUGCCGAAGUGGUAUAGCUUGUCAAGUAUGCUGUCUUAACCGCAGUUGCUGGCAGUGGAGAGGGCUUUAGGUCGAGGCGGCGGGUGGUUAAAGGAUGGUUUCUGUUUUGUUUUUAGAUCUUGAUUUUUUUAAUCAAUUUAAUCCGCUUUUCUCUAUUGGCUGUGACUUUUUGCAACCGAAAUUUAGUUUGUAAGACAAAGAGAUUACCUGGUUUAAAAAUGGUAAAUGUAAAUUUAUAUUAAAAUGAAAA